UCACCUCCGCAGGCUGCGGCCCCCAGGCUGGGCUGGGCGAGUGUCUCUUCGAAAGGCUCCCCCUCAAGCACGACCAGGAGC
rnacentral:pre_miRNA from 1 species